CGGGUGGCUGUUCGGCGACUUCGGGUGCCGCAGACAACCGCCAGACUUGAUGCAGCAACUGGCCUUGCCGACGACGGAGAAAGCAGGUGCAGAGUGCUGUCAGAUUUGGUCGAGAGGCUGGGCUCGGUGAGGAGGCGGCUGCGGCGGGUUCGAGUGAAGUAAACUCUAGAUCGGCGACGGCAUGAACUCCAGUGCCACUCUCUCAAAAAUUUCCUGAACCGAGUCCUAAUUAUCUUUUCUUGGUUUGCCAUUUUGUAAUGCAGUUCGGAAAGAAUUUAAUUUAAUUUUUUUCUUAGUUCCACAUCUGGAUUGCAGCUCAUACGAUUCUCUGUUUUUUCACAUUGAAAUCAUGCUUACAUGUCACACCAGUAUCUUCCUAAUUGAUGCCCUGCUAGAUCUUUGCAAGAUCGAAGGUAACAUGGAAUUGCUCUUACAGUAGAAUAAUAAAGCUUGCUUUUUUGGUAGUGCAGCCUGAAACGAUGAGCUGCAUGAUUGGUGUCCAUUUAGUGUGCAUUUCUGAACUCUGAAUGAUGAGUGUGCUUCUUAGUUUUUGUUGUUCAAUAUAGAGUUUUGCCGAUUUGGGCCACACUCAGUACACUGUAACAUGGCUCGCUCCGGCCACGCCUUGUUUGCCACGGUCGCCUUAGCUUUGAGGCCAUGGAGGUUGUGACCAUGCGACCCUGGUGGCGCCCCCUCCAGCUUAGCACAAAAACAUUAAGAACACCUGCACGGCAUGGGAGCUUGCUACCAUCAAUGAACAUACGGGAGGUUGUUAGCAUCAAUGAAAGAGGCUGGCUGUAAUUGUCCGUGCUCUGUGAUGUUGAGUUAUCCAAGCUGUCUGCCUUAUUGAGGAUUGCAAAAAUAAGUGUCAGCAAGACUUCAGUGGUAAAGGUGUGACAGAUUAUGUGUUUCAUUUUCUUAUCUGUCAGUUUUCCCCACUGACUUGAAUUGAGUAUUGAUUGGAUUCGUUAGUUCUUCCUACUAUCCUAAUUGAUUUAUAUGCAUAAAUUGUUAUUUGAGUAGGAGACUAGCUGAUGUGUCUAUGUGUGCCUUCUAAGUAAGUACAUGAAUAAAUCAUGAUUUACUCAAAGUGCAUUUCAAUCGAUCCUAGAAACAACUCCACGGUGUUUCUGGAAAGGAGUAGGAAAUAAAUAUACUGUAUAUCUUAACAGUUGCGAGGCUGCUUUCUCUCUUUUUUCUGAACAAAUAUAGUUUAUGAAUUUUGUUUCGAACAUGAUUAUCUUCCACAGUUGUUGUCAGCACUGAAUUUAUAAGGCAGAAAUGAACAUAAACUAGAGCCUCAUAUUACCUGUACUUUGAGAGAUCAUGUAUAUUUCUCUUUGCUUUUGUAUAUACUCUCCUUCAGAUGCUGACUUUGAGUUUCUGUAAGAUAAUUUUAACUCAGUGUGUGGCAUAAAAUAUCUCUGAAAAUUCGGAUAGCACUAUGUGUGCCCUGUUGUAUUAGUUUUGUGACAAUCCAUUUCAGAGGGAACUAAACUGUUGGUCACCUGAAAUAUGCAUCUAUGGUUCUAUGCUAUACUCACUGGUCUUUCGGUAGUGUAUCCAACAGAGAUGGGCUGGAACGUGCCAACUGGACAGUGCAUACCACGGACACUAACAGUAACAAGGACCCUACCAGACGGACAAGGAGCACAAGCACUUCAAAAGGUGAAAAACUCAUAGUUCAGAAUUCGGUUUUACCUUCUGAAGAGUACUGCCUCUUAAUUCUCAGUGUCAAAUCUAAUUUGCUCAUUUCUCAUAGCACACAAUUGAGUUUGAGUUGUAAGAUAGGUAUGUUUUAGUCUGAAGUGUGAAUUCUAAUUUAGUCACUACGUCGCAUAGAAUACAUCUGAAUUUUGGAUGACACAUUAUGUGUGCAUUGCUGUAUUAGUUUUGUGACAGUCUAUUCCUCAGAUAAUUAAACUGUUGGUCACCUGAAA